rnacentral:tRNA from 1 species
GGUCUCAUGGUGUAAUGGUCAGCAGUUUGGACUUUGAAUCCAACGAUCCGAGUUCAAAUCUCGGUGAGACCU